UGGCAAUGAUGUAAAAAAAGAAUUUCUUCACCUGACACUUUAAUGAAGAUAAAAAAACGAGCUUUUUAAAACUGAGCCAG